rnacentral:rRNA from 1 species
GCCGUCGCCAGUUCGUGCUGUGAGGUAUCCUGUUAAGUCAGGCAACGAACGAGAUCCGCGCCUUUAUUUGCCAACAAGAAGUCACGACUUCGUUGGGAACACUAAAGGGACCGCCUUCGAUAAGACGGAGGAAGGAGCGGGCAAAGGCAGGUCAGUAUGCCCCGAAACCCCUGGGCUACACGCGGGCUGCAAUGAUAUGAACAAUGGGCAGUAACUCCGAAAGGAGAAACCAAUCCCGAAAUCAUAUCUCAGUGGGGAUUGUCGGCUGUAACCCGCUGACAUGAACGUGGAAUCCCUAGUAAUCGUGUGUCAUCAUCGCACGGUGAAUACGUCUCUGCUCCUUGCACACACCGCCCGUCGCUCCAUCCGAGUGUGCUAAAAAUGAGGUUUGGUCAAUCUGGUCAUAUCGAGUUUCUAGUAUGCGAGGAGGGAGAAGUCGUAACAAGGUAGCC